rnacentral:rRNA from 1 species
UACGUAGGGGGCUAGCGUUGUCCGGAUUUAUUGGGCGUAAAGAGCGUGUAGGCGGCCAGGUAGGUCUGCUGUGAAAACUCGAGGCUCAACCUCGAGACGUCGGCGGAAACCAUCUGGCUAGAGUCCGGAAGAGGAGAGUGGAAUUCCUGGUGUAGCGGUGAAAUGCGCAGAUAUCGGGAGGAACACCUAUGGCGAAGGCAGCUCGCUGGGACGUUACUGACGCUGAGACGCGAAAGCGUGGGGAGCAAACAGG